UCCUUUUUUUUUUUUUCCUUUUUUUUUUUUUUUUUUUUUUCCUCCAAGAGCAAUUUAAGCAAUAGAUUCUGUAACCUGGCGUGUGUUGUGUUAGUAAUAUUCACUGGAAGCCCGGAUCACUGAGUAGGCUCUCGCCGGUCAUCUCGCUGAGGUUUUUGGCGUUUUGGAAUGGCUCAGGCUGACGUGUUUGGACGUUCCUGGGUUUGGAAGCGCUCCGCUCUAUCCCUACGGUUCCAGGAGACAGACCUGUCGGUGCUGUGGAAUGUAUUGCAUCCCUGGUGGCAGCUCUCUCCGAUGUUUUGUUGUGGUUUUUUUUGUGGGUUUUUUUUUGUUUUUUACACUAUUCACUUGUCAUCCUCCUUUAGACGUGAGAUUAUAUAUGUGAUUUCUUUGGUUUUACAAGCUCUAUUAUUUGAUUGCAUUUUUCUUCCUGAGGCUGUUGGAUAAAGCACCGGAUGGAGAGGAGAGGAGAGGUCUCUCUUUGGGCGCACGCGGAGUUUCGCGCUGAGGUUCGGUUGCUUGGGGCUGCUUCGGUGUGACCCCAGGAGCACCUGGAGCUGGCUUGAGAGCAGCAAGAGGUGACACAACGGUGGCUUGUCAUCUUCUGGGAGGGAGAGAGUGUUCUGGUGGGUCCCCAUCUGCGCAGGACUGGGCCGUCGUGACACAGGAGCGGUGGGGAAAGGGGGCUGCAGAAGAGCUCUUGGCACUAAAGUAUCACCCUGUGGUGGGACCGUGGCCUUGCCUUGGUCUUCCCCUACCCCAGGGCAAGAGGGGUUUUACUGCAGCUGUGCCUCUGUUCUCUCUGUUCUCCUUUCCAAGGAGCCCUCAAACUGUGAAACUAAACCAGGUGAGAAGCUUUCAGAAAGCCCGUGUUCAGCAUUAACGGAGCACAGUUAGGAUGAAGUGUUUUGUUUUAUUGGAUUUAGAGACGUGAUGCUCCUUUUAUAGCUUGUUUCAGCAAGGGCAGGGGGGGAAAUCCCAGGGACUUCAUUUUUUCAGCACCUUCACACUUACUUAGGGGCAGAUGUUUCCUUUCGCUGGCAUUUACUCGUUUCAGAGAAAGUGUUGCUGUUAAGCAGAGUAGUUGCUCUUGUUUUGGCCUCUAGUUCUGAUUUUUGCAGCUUGAGUUUUAGAGGUGAAAUACUUCUUUUUUUAAAAAAAAAAAAAAAAAAAAAACAACCAACAAACCAAAACAAACAAAAAACCACCUUUUUUUGCUGUUGAGGUAGUUUCUGGGUUUUUUUAAACUAUCGUUAGGAGUUUCUCAGGAAUAAACCAGCUGAAGCAAAGCAGACAAACCCAUGGGUAUAGGAGACAGCAGGCACCUCUUUUUGUGGGUGGUUCCAUGCUAGAGCUGGUCCUGGCAGGGGGGUGCUGCCUCGGUGGCCUCAUCUCACCUCUGUGGGCAGCUGUGAGUGCUUGUCCCCACACCACAUACUCUGGGGACCCCAGCGUGGUGACAAGACUGACUGACCCUCCAGUCCACGUGUCGGAUGAGCCGGGGCAGGGGGGGUGACCCGAUCAGGGUGACAUCUUUCUGGUUUCCGAGCUAGGAGUGAAAAUUUGGUUGUAAACACAGCAGAGCGUUUAUCUUGUAAGAGGCAGCCCGGGUGGGUGUUUGUGUUAAUUUAUUACAAAGCAUUAUACUUUCCUAUUGUGGAUACUAGUUCUGGUAGAGUUGUGGGCGAUGGGGCGAGGCGGUGAGGGGGGAGUUAUCCUUUGAGCUGGUCACCCCUGUGAAGGUGAUGAAGGGACUGCUCGGUCCAGAGGGCAAAUCUGUUUUCCCCGGGCAGCAUCCUGUGCUAGUGCUGUAAAUACCCGGUGUUCCUGUGGUAUCAGAAGUCAGCUCUGCUUUCUUGGGUGGCAAGGUUGUUUUUCCAAGGCGCUGCACUCCAGUUAAUUUAUAAUAAAAGCAAACAUUGCCCGA